GGUUUUAAAUGGCAGACGGUGGAUGGGUUGGCUGUACCUAGAAGAGCUCCCGUGCUCGCUGCGGGCUGCGGGGGAGCCGCUCGCUGCGCGAGGGAGGCCGCAGGCCCCGUUUCUAUGGCGACCUCACCUGCCGUCACCCCAGCGAGCAGCCCCUCUUCCAUUCCGGGGAAUGGUGCAGGGGAGGGAGAGGAGCGGGAGGCAAGGAUGGAGUAUUUCCAAGGAGGAGCCUGAGAAAUCAGUAUUGAAAGCACGGCAGAGACAUGACGGUGAUGGCCUGACCUUGUUUAGAGUCCCUGUAGAGAAAUGUUUUUCGGCACAACACAUCUACCUUGGUGUAAUUCUAUUACGGCCAAAAUACCAAUCAAGCUUUGUGGAGUAAGGACAAUCCCAGCGACACUGCAGUCCUGCAAAAAGGCUCUGGGUCACAUUGCCAUAGCAAUAUGUAAACUCUGGAGAGCUGAUGCUGCUGCCCACAGAGAAUCAGGAUGUUGCAGGACAGAUCUGAGAUAAUCCUUUAUUGAUCUGAGGUGCACAAGACCAUAAUUGAAGCAUAAAUUGAUCCUUAAGCUUAAGGUAAUGCCUUUGUGUUGAAAAGGGUGCUGCAGAAUGAGUCUUUCUGCUCCCCCUGUUCUGAGUGUGAAUGUGAAGCUAACUUGGUAUCUGUCCCAACAAAGUCAGCAAUAAAUCCAAGUGUUUCUGUCUGGCCAAGUUAAUCAGUUAUUAAUGAGAUAUAUGUACAGGAGAGGAUGCCCUCCAGGUUUCAUUCAUUAUUGAGGAAGGAAGUCCAAAGAAGGCACAUAAACUCAUCUUGCCAUAGUUGCUCAAAAGAGCUCUGAUCCACUCUUUUCAAACCCACCUGCUUUUCCCACAAUUCAAAUUGUCUUGUAAUUGUAGAAGAAGCAUGUGUAGAAAGCAAAAAUCUUUGUUAUACAGAGAUAUUAAUUUAAAUCUUCUGGGUCUAAAUCUUGGCUCCAUUAAGAUCAAUAGCUAACAUCACACUCUUGUCAAAAUGACCAUCCCUAAUAUUAGGAUUUCUUGGACAUUUGGUCAUUGUCUCCUCUAAGCUGGCACAGGAUUCUUCAUACUGAUUUGAGUACUGACAGAUUUAAUUUAGAAGCUUUACUAAGCCAACUGCUAUAAAGUAAACAUGUAUUUUCAAAUCACUGAUUUUUUUCUGCCAUGACUAGAAAAAAAACAAUGUUCUGUUCACUUGAAAUACUUCCUAUAACCUGAGAACUUCUGUGAAUAAUAAUAAUGAAUUGUAGUAAUGGAUUUUAUUAAAACAUCGUCUUUGCAUUUACAAAAUUUUUGUAUUUCUUAAAAAUAUAACAAAAAUAAAAAUAAUUUAAUGCAGCAAAGUAAAUGUUCCUAGUUUUAUAAGGAAGUUUUCCCUUCAAAAUGAAAUACGUAGUUACUGGAAAGGAAGGCUCUCUCUUCUGAGCUGGAGCUGCUGAUGCUCAGGCACAGAACCAGGCAGUGAAUCCCAUCUUCUUUUUUGAUGCUGGCCACGUGCCUUAUGACUUCCAGUUACAGUCCUCCAAAGUCAUGAUAAUAUUUUCUUCCAUGUCUUCCUCACCUACCCUUCAGAUCUAGUUCUGGAAUGAGACAUGAGUAACAGACUAACUCAGAGAAGUCCUUUUUUUCAAAGAUGACUGGGUUAAUUUCUUUUAAGGAAAAAAAUCCUAAAAUGUUUUUACCCACUUUUCAUUUGCAUGCACUUUCCAUUAAUCCAUCCUAAUUUUAAAGAUGCUUAACUGAGUUGAAGCAAAAAUUCAGUUUUCACUUUGUUUACCAUACUUUUAGUAGCUUGAAUACCAGAAACUCUAGUUCUGUAGGUUUCUCUACCAUUGAAGCCCACAAAAAGACGCAUGAGAAAACUCUCCUUGAGCCCUCUUUAAAGAAUAAAUGUCUUCUUCAGUGACUGUUGUGGUGGCACUCUCAUUGUAGGAUGUUCUGUGAGCCAUUGGGAGUCCAUGUGCGUCUUGUAAUUACUAUCAGAGCCUGGGCAAAGGGUUGAACUAUUUCUUCAAGCAGUUUUAAAGUGUAACUCAAGCCCAUGUGCUGUCAUCAACUACCCUUUCAAAUGGCCUGAUUCAAGCCCUUGAGGUAAUGGUGCCCUGCACCACUGGUGUGGAAUGAGCACGACACAGAGUUAUUUCCCUGGCUGCCUGGUGAGCACAUUAGUGCAUGGGCACUGCCCCUGACCAAGGAGCUCUGGAAACAGCAUAGAUCAAAACCUCUCUGGGGCAAGAGCAGCUGCUAAUCCACUUCCCAGACAGUAACAUUUGAGAUUCUCCCAUUCAAUAUUUCUGCAAAUUAUGCAAGGCUCACCAUUUCUGGACAGGGACCUGUUUGUGUCUGUAACUAUAUCCACCCUGAGACAUGGAUUCAUCACUUGGUCACCACCCUGAGACAUGGAUUCACCACUUGGUUAGUGUUUGAACUGUGUCAUAAGGACAUUAUACACAUGAGGGUCAUUGGGAUCAGAGGAACUGUUUCUUACAGGAAAGACAGAAGCCACAAUAGCUCUAAAGCCUUUCCUCUGAGCCAAAGCCCUUUUUUGUACAUUACCACAUUACCUGGUAGCACAAGUUUCAUCUGGGCCAAAACCAAGCUAACUUUGUGCAAGUACAGCAUGUGAUGUUUAUGCCAGUUUAAGGAAUUAUCCUGACUGCAGCAAAGAGUUGAUACCUGGUUCUGUAUAAAAACUGCUGGGCAAAGAGGUUUUUUUGCCAAAGCAUUUGGAAAGCAUUAUUGCUAUUAAGCAUUUGUUUAAAAUCCUUCUGUAGCACAUUGCCACAAUGUCUGGCACAAGUAGCCCUAAAAGUAGAUGUACCCUCUCUUUGCAUCAGUCCUUUGAGAUGGAGACAGCUGACUGGGAGAGAAAUAUAGGUUUUUUACUUCAGUGGUAUGAUUUGGUGUAUGUGCAUACUUGCCAGCAUAAAAAAAAAACAUGUUCUAGUCCAGUCUUCUGAUUCUAUAUAAUUUUUAUUUCAGUUACAUGUGAAAGUGAUGGGAGAUUGAAAAGUUAUAUAGCAUCAUCUAGUGUUCAUAUACAAAUUUACAGGAGCCUGCAGUUUCAUCACCCUCAAUUAUUCAGAUUAACUGGCACCAGUGUUGACUCCAAACGAAAAUGUGAGAUAAAUUCCUUACUUCCAGCUAUUGGCCUGUGGACUCUAAGGAAGGAAAAAAAAAAAAAAAGAAAAAUAAAAAGAGCUGUGCUAUACCCAUACUGUUAGCAUUCACAGGAGUGGGACAAGAAUAUAAAGUAUAAUUUCUUGCAAGGGUUUUUAACAGAUAAGGCUAAGCCAAAGAAUUUUGGCGUGUGAUUUUAAUAUAAGGAUGGUAGAAACCCAGGAGCAGAUCCUGCUGUACCCACUCUGACUUGACAAAAUAAACUAGAAUGUUUUAUUUUUUAAACACUUGUUCAAAAAAAAAUAAUCAGAACAGGAAUCCAAAUAUUCUGUCUCCAAGGCUAAGCAUUUUAAAUUAAAUAACCUUGAAGGAAAAGCAAUAGAAAUCGAGGAGGACAUCACAGAGUAUAGAAAGCUGCCUUCUAUAAAGCAUGUCUGCUUAUGUUCACUUUUCUGGAGGGGGGUUGUCUUCUCCUUCUUAAAAGUUUAAGAUUUCAAAAUUUUAAGAUUUUUCUUAACUGUGUACUGCUGUUUUAUGUGUAGAAUAGCUAGCAGAGAGGUCUGUGCUAAUGCAAAAAAAAAAAAAAAAAGAAAAGGAAAAAAAGUACUGAUG